rnacentral:rRNA from 1 species
AGGGUUCGAUUCUGGCUCAGGACGAACGCUGGCGGCGCGCCUAACACAUGCAAGUCGAACGGAGAUACCUGUUAGAUCCCUUCGGGGUGACGAUGGACUAUCUUAGUGGCGGACGGGUGAGUAACACGUGAGCAACCUGCCUUACAGAGUGGGAUAACGUUUGGAAACGAACGCUAAUACCGCAUAACAUUAACUUAUCGCAUGGUAAGAUAAUCAAAGAAAUUCGCUGUAAGAUGGGCUCGCGUCUGAUUAGAUAGUUGGUGAGGUAACGGCUCACCAAGUCGACGAUCAGUAGCCGGACUGAGAGGUUGAACGGCCACAUUGGGACUGAGACACGGCCCAG